rnacentral:rRNA from 1 species
UACGUAGGGGCAAGCGUUGUCCGGAUUCAUUGGGCGUAAAGAGCGUGUAGGCGGCCAGAUAGGUCAGCUGUGAAACUCGGGGCUCAACCCUGAGACGUCGGUUGAAACCAUCUGGCUAGAGUCCGGAAGAGGAGUGUGGAAUUCCGUGUAGCGGUGAAUGCGCAGAUAUCGGGAAGAACACCCGUGCGAAGGCGGCACUCUGGACGGUACUGACGCUGAGACGCGAAAGCGUGGGGAGCGAACAGG